UCCCUGGUGGUCCAGUGGUUAGGAUUCGGCACCUUCACUGUGGAGGCCCGGGUUCAAUCCCUGGUCAGGGAA